GCACCCGCGGUAAUUCCAGCUCCAAUAGCGUAUAUUAAAGUUGUUGCAGUUAAAAAGCUCAUAGUUGGAUUUCUGGGAGGGUGCCGAUGUCCACUUAACGUGUGCGCAGCGGCGCCCUCUCAUCCUUCUGUUAGCGUCUCAUGGCAUCCAUUUGCUGGUGGCGGGCUCAGAUAUUUUACCUUGAGAAAAUUAGAGUGUUUCAGGCAGGCUAGGCCGGAAUACAUUAGCAUGGAAUAAUGGAAUAGGACUACGGUCUCUUUGUUGGUUUGAGGGACUGCAGUAAUGAUUAAUAGGGAUAGUUGGGGGCAUUAGUACUUAACUGUCAGAGGUGGAAUUCUCAGAUUUGUUAAAGACUGACUUAUGCGAAAGCAUUUGCCAAGGAUGUUUUUAUCAAUCAAGAACGAAAGU
rnacentral:rRNA from 1 species